rnacentral:snoRNA from 16 species
GCAGUUGUGAUGAAAUGAAACAAAAGAAGGGCAUGCCGUUGUAUUAGAGUUUUUACGGUAGACUUUUUUCCCAACGGAUCUUACUUU